GAUAAACGCUAGCGGCAGGCUUAACACAUGCAAGUCGAGGGGCAGCAUAGAAUGUAGCAAUACAAUAGGUGGCGACCGGCGCACGGGUGCGUAACGCGUAUGCAACCUACUCGUCACAGGGGGAUAAUCCGGAGAAAUCUGGUCUAAUACCCCAUAACAUAUGGAUCGGCAUCGGUUCAUGUUGAAAUUUUCGGAGGUGACGGAUGGGCAUGCGUAGCAUUAGCUUGUUGGUGAGGUAACGGCUCACCAAGGCGACGAUGCUUAGGGGGACUGAGAGGUUUUCCCCCCACACUGGUACUGAGACACGGACCAGACUCCUACGGGAGGCAGCAGUGAGGAAUAUUGGUCAAUGGGCGCAAGCCUGAACCAGCCAUGCCGCGUGCAGGAUGACGGCUCUAUGAGUUGUAAACUGCUUUUGUACGAGGGUAAAGUGGGUUACGUGUAACCUUUUGAAAGUAUCGUACGAAUAAGGAUCGGCUAACUCCGUGCCAGCCGCCGCAGUAA
rnacentral:rRNA from 1 species